rnacentral:rRNA from 1 species
UACGUAGGGGGCAAGCGUUGUCCGGAAUCAUUGGGCGUAAAGCGCGUGUAGGCGGCCCGGUAAGUCCGCUGUGAAAGUCCAGGGCUCAACCCUGGGAUGCCGGUGGAUACUGUCGGGCUCGAGUCCGGAAGAGGAGUGUGGAAUUCCUGGUGUAGCGGUGAAAUGCGCAGAUAUCAGGAGGAACACCAAUGGCGAAGGCAGCACUCUGGGACGGUACUGACGCUGAGACGCGAAAGCGUGGGGAGCGAACAGG